AACAAAUUGGAGAGUUUCAGUGACAAACUCAAGGAUUUCAGUGACAAACUCUGGUGUUUUUGUGAAAAAUUCGAGAGUUUCAGUGACAAACUCAAGGGCUUUUGUAAAAAACUCAAGGGAUUUAGUGACAAACUCAAGGGGUUUAGUAAAAAACUCAAGGGUUUCUGUAUCAAACUUGAGGAUUCCAGUGACAAACUUGAGGGUUCCAGUGACAAACUCGAGGAUUCCAGUAACAAAUUCCAAGAUUUUAUUGCCACUUGAGGGAGCUCAAAGCUAAUUGACUUUGCAGAGCUACCUGGAGUUUCCUAAUUCCAGGGAGACCUUUUCUAUCCACAGCUAGAAUGGAUAACUUUGGAAAGCAAAGCUAGAUUGAGCCUGGGGUUGUAUUUCUCUUGUCCUGUGUAACAUCAGAGUAAUUAUCAGAGUGUAAGAAAUUACAGCCAUGUAUCCAGAAUAUUUAACAAGUGAAAAAGACAAGUUUUCCACUUGCUAAUUCCCAAUAUUUGCUUUUCUUCCCCAUCACUUCCACCUUCACCUUGGCUGUGACCUUGCUGUGCCUGAGGCUCGUGGCUGUGAUGUUCCUGUGGGUUCAGCCACGGAAGUGUUCAUGUCCAAGAUAAAUACAGUGGAUUGCUCUAAAAUUCAGGCUUUAGCAUUUUUAUUACAGAUGCUGCCUCCCCAUAAAUCAGAGCACUUAAAGUGCCACAUGAUCCCAAAUGCUGUGUUUAACAGCAGCAGAUGGAGGAAAAGCUGUGUACAGGACUUUAUAGGGGCCAUAAAAUCCUUGUGGCCUCCUCUCCUUGCACUGCCUGGAUCAAUCAGAUGCAGGGAGCACUCAGGACAGUAAAUAUUCCCAGGAAAUGAAGAUGAGUUUCAGGGCUCAGCUCCUCAGCGUUAUUGCUGGCUUUGGGAAGGUGCUUCAACACUGCAAUGAAGCAGGAGCUGUAUUUCACAUGGUAAAACUGACUCCACCAUCAUUACCCCAUUGUCCAUCUUCUGAAGGAAAAAUCUCAUGGUUUCCUCCCAAGGGAUGAAGGAUCUGUCAUACACAGGCACACAAACAGUUUUUAAUCACUCCUUGUGCUGAGGAAUGGGUGAUUACAAACUUCUGUCUCACUCAAAUGUUAUUGGGAGUUUCUGCAGCAUCCCAAGAUGAGCGUGAUUUCUUCAAAUGUGAUUUCUUCAAAGUGCUGGGAAGAGGCUGAGGAAGUUUUUCUGCCCCAUAAAUCUCUCUGAGAGCAAAGAUCCUGGCCUGAGGAAGCUCCUGUGGCUGGGAGGGAUCCUGUGCCAAAGCAAACAGCUCCUGCCUCUGCUGAGUCACACGAGCACUGAGUGGGGUGGGUUUGUGGCUCCUUGUUCCACACUGUUGAAUGUUGGUCUGCAUCCUUCCUGAAAUUCACAGCUCUUCCCAAGGCUCCUUCUCCAACAGCCAGCUCAGGUAAUGGAGUGAAAACACCUCCCAGGAGAGUGUUUUGCACAUUAAUGAUGUGCAGCUUCUCAGCCAAGCCAGGACUUUCAGGAGGAUUUUUUGGAUGUUCCAGGCCAGGCUGGCCAGGGCCUGGAGCAGGCUGGCCCAGUGGAAGGUGUGGUAUGAGAUGAUUUUAAGGUCCCUUCCCACCCAAACCAGUCUGGGAUUCUGGGAUUUCAGAGCUUCAGGCUGUGGGGACUAGAAUUGAAUUCCUAGGUAACACUUGAACCUGGCUCCAUGCACAACUUUGUCCCUGUUUUCCUCAGGAUACACAAAUUCCUGGUGGAUCUUAACAGUGCUAAGUUUUAAAAAUCCCCAGGUGAUUUGGUGGAAAUACUGAACAGCUACGGCUGCCUGAGAGCCACUGAAGCAAAGCAUUUCCUGGAGAGAUCAUCUUUGAAAAGAUGCAUUCUCAGAACAUUUAAACUUCAUAAAACUCUCCUGUUUCAUCCAGCAGGACAGACAUGAAGGAUUUCAUGGCUAACCCUGGAAUUUCAGGAGGAAGCUUUGAUCCUGAAUCAGGUGCUGGAGGUUGGUGCCACCCAGCCUCAGUGCCCUGGGAAUGAAGGAAGUUCCCACCCUGGACAAGAGCUGUGCUUCCCUCCUCUGGCUGAAGGCCAAGAGAGCUCAUUGUCCCCAGGGCUCCUCAUCCUCUGGGAAUGGGAGUGAUGGAAGCCCAGAAAUGGAUGGGAGAGGGAACUGCUUCUCCCUGGCUGCAUGGCAGGGCUGCAGCAUCCCCUUGUACAUCCAUCCCCUGUAAGCACAGAAAUCAUCCUGUUCCCAAAGCCAGGGCUGCUCCCAGCACCUGGCACUCCACGGAUCCGGCAGCACCUCCUCAUUCCAGCCUCCUGCCUUCCCCUCUCAGCUCCGAGUUCUCUCCCUCUGCUCCUUCAUUCCAAAGGCAGAUCUCCUGUCCCUCCUGCUUUCCCCCUGCCCGAGGCUGAGCAUUUUCUGCACAUCCAGCAGUUCCUCCUCAGGCAUUUCCUCUGCCCUCCAGGGGCUGAACUUUGCUGGAGACUUUCCAAGACCCGGCUAAAGUGGGGUGGAUUUAUUUCCUUCUCCCUGCUGCAGCCUGGAGAACUUUCCAAGCAAACAGUUUGGUUCAGUGGUCCCGUUGUUCCCUGAACUUUAAUUCCUUUGCUGCUACACCUGAUCCCUCACUUUCAAGUUAAUUCCUCCCCUCUGUGGAAUUCCUUCUCACCAGCUCUCCCAGACCUUGGAUCUGAGGAAACUCGAUUAAAUUCUGUCUUUGUAGUUGACGUGGUUAUGUUAAAUAUUCUCAUUGGGUUGACAUCGUUUAAAAUAAAACCAGAAAUGAAAAAUCACAAUUAUUUCAAUAAUCCUGAGUCAUCUCCACACACCCAGCUCUGUCUCAGAGUAUGGGACUUUGCUUCAUAACCCAAGAAAGUGAUACCAUGGGGAAAAAAUUACAAAAAGCUCAAGGACAGGAGAAAAGGGUGGGAAAGGGGGAGAAUAAUUAUUUCCUUAUAGGCAAAGAACUGGAAACAAGCUGGAGAAGGGAGGGAAAACCAUUUCACAAACUGAUAAUUCAAAUUAGAGGACAAGAAGUUCUACCUAAGUAUUUGUUAAAGGGUUGGAGAGGGAGAUAAAAUGCAAUUUUCUUUUUUAUUUCUUUCAAAGAGUGAAUGAGAAAUUAUUUUGCACAGAAAAAAAAAAUUGUGAUCUAAUUCUGAAAAUAUAUCAUUUCCUUUAGAAGCACCUUGCUCAACACUUGAUUUCCCAGUUUCACUCACAGAUUACAAUUCUUUGCAUUUUUAUAACCCUGAGCUCCCCACCUUGUGGUUUCUAAGUACAAACAAUUUCCUCAAUAUUAUUCAUGGCCUGAGAGAAGGAAACGAGUGGGUUCACCUUGUUCCCCAUAAAUGACAAGUGAAUAAAUACAAGUCCUACAGGCAAAUCCUGAAUUCCAUCCACCCCUUACUACCAGCACAAGGAAUGGAUCCCAGAGAUAUGGGAAGGCCACAUGGGAUUUUACCUCUCCCUGCUCCCAUUGGGAAUAACAUUCCCAAUGAUAUUAAUAUUUAAAUGACUGUAAUUGCACAUAUAAACCAAUUUCUCCUUGGAUGGGGAAGGAAAUCCCUCCAUGCUGACCUGGCCAUGGACAUCUCCUGUGGAAUCUGAUUUGGUAACACUCAGAGGAGCUGAAACCCUUUUGAGCCACAACUUCUUUGUCCUUUUAGAACCAUCCCAGAAUCCCUGAAGCUGGAAAAAACCUCCAGGACCAUCAGUCCAGCUGUUAACCCAGCCCUACACCACAUCCUCGGGAUUUUUAAACACUUCCAGGGAUGGGGACUCCACCACUCUCUGCAUGGUAACCAGAAGAUGAAGUCAGAUUAUAAGAAAUUGAAGAGAAAAUAAAUAAAGUUUCUUUUUUCUCUAUCUGGAAGGCAAAUACAGCUGCCUUUUUUUUUUUUUUCUUUUUUUCCUGGAAAUUUGAGCUCCACAACCACAAAGCAUUCAUAGAAAAUGCAACUCCAAGUUCAAAUAUCUGACAUCUGACAACAAGUGCCAAGGGCAAGGCUCUGGAAAGCGAUAGGGAAUGGAAAAUGGGGAGAGAAAACUGAACUCAGGAAAGGGAACAGAUAAAAAUCCUGCUUUAGAGAGCCAUGCCAAGUAAGAACAUCCCAUCCUGCAGCUGGAGUGUUUGCUUCCUUGUUCAAGUUUGCUGGCAAACUAUGAACUCACACUUCUUAUGUUCCACUCCAACAAGAAGUGCUUUGGGGCAGGUCUUGGCUCCAGGAUCUCCAGCUGAAUUCCCUGGAUCCAAUUUCCACCCAGCCUGUGGGGGAACGGACUCCUCAUUCCCUUGGGAAUGCACCCCUCGGGCUCUGUCCGAGCCCUGGUAACCACUGGGGUGUUUUGCUUGGCUUCUCUGAGUUUACAUCCCCACCAAAAGAGGGGAAACAACUGAUGAGGGCUUUUCUAACUGCUUAAAAUCUGAUUCUUGCAGGGAAUUGGAGCCAGCAGAUGUGCUGGAGAUAAGGGGUGGGACGAGGCACAUCUGAGCCCUGCUCUGGUGGUGCUGGGCAGGAGGGAUGGCACCACCACCAAAACCCAGAUCGCAGCUCUCAUAGUCAGGGCUCCCAAAUCUGCAUCCUCAGCAGUCCAGACCCUUCUUUUCCAAAGUCACUUCACCAAAGUCACGCUGCAAAUUGGUCAUAAUUCAUCAGCUUUGUAUCAUUUUUUUUUGUCUAGAAUUUGUUUAGCAUUCCUGCCUCCAGCCCGAGCUGUCCCAACAUCAUUUCAGCUUCUAGUCCACACAUUCCCAGCCCAUUUUCCUGCACUUUCUGCUCACCAAGCAAGAAGGAGCUUUUUAUAAGCUUCUUACACUGACACCUGAAAGAGCAGUGCUGCUGUCAGCACAUUCCCAGCCUUUCUUCCCUGGGAAUAUUUCCCAGAGCCAGCCUCACACCCUGUGUGCUCCCCUGGAAAAGUGAUUUCCCUACAAGGCUGAAGGGCUGGGAUUUUCAGGGAGUUCCACCCAGCAGAAAAUGCCUGAUAGUGGCUGUGGAUGGUGUCCAGCAGCUCCUCGUGGCCAAGCAACCUUCCCUAAACACCAAGUCCUUCCAGGAAAUGGGAAAGAAACACAUCCCAUGGGACUGGGAAGAGGGCCUGGAUGAAUCACUGCUCCCCACACACAUCUCCAAGGAAAUGAGGGAAAAUAAAUGGGUUCCAAACAGCACAACUGACACCCUGGGGGCCUCGAUUGGGGGUUAUCCUACAGCCACAGCAUCCCAAUCCCCAUGGAUGCAGCACCUGGCUCAAUCCCAGUUUGGGGCUGGAAGAAAAGCACCAACACACAGCUCUGCUGACACAGCAGCCUGUGGUGGAUCUGUCAGAAAACCUUUGUGCUGUUGCAAUGCUUUUCUCAUUGCUUUGUGCACUCUGCAAACAGAUUUGGCAAGCAGGCAUUGUUACCCUGGGAUCCUCCUCCAGGAUUUAUUGGGGAUGUUUAAUACCUGCCACAGCCAUCCUGCUUUUCUCUGAGCUGGCACCAAAUCCUGGCCCUGAAGUGACAAUUUCUUGUUGCUUCUGUUGGCUCAGGAUAAGCCACAAAGCCAAGAAUGGUUAUGAAAGUGCCACUCCCAAAGUGUCCCACUCCCAAAGUGUCCCACUCCCCUCCCAAA